CUUGGUAAACGCUGCAUAUUUUUUAUGUAGAGGAAAGUCCACGCUUACACUAUCUGAGAUGAUAGUAGUGUUUGUGCUUAGGGAAAAAAUAACCUAAGGCGGCCUAUAUUGGCCGACGGCUUCAGCUAAUUCUAAGGAAAUUUCUAUGAAUUAGAUGAUGUAAAAGUGCCACAGUGACGAAUUUUUAUAGAAAUAUAAAAAGUGAAACGAGGUAAACCCCGCAAGUAAGAAACUCAAAUUAUGGUAGAGGAACUAUCUGAUGAUAAAUGAAUUUGAAGAUGGAUAGCAUUAGCUAUAGAUAAAUGUUUACCGCCUUAUUUUAAGGUACAGAACGUGGCUUAUAA
rnacentral:RNase_P_RNA from 1 species